CCUCCGUUGUUCCGCCGUCUUUACUUUUGCGCCAUGGGGGAAACCCUGACGCAGCAACGCCGCGUGAUCGAUGAAGCCCUUCGGGGUGUAAAGAUCUGUCAGUGGGGACGAAACCUGACGGUACCCACAGAGGAAGCACCGGCUAACUCCGUGCCAGCAGCCGCGGUAAUACGGGGGGUGCAAGCGUUGUCCGGAAUCAUUGGGCGUAAAGAGUUCGUAGGUGGCACGUUAAGUCUGGUGUUAAAGGCGGAAGCUCAACUUCCGUAGGGCACUGGAUACUGGCGAGCUUGAAUGCGGUAGAGGUAAAGGGAAUUCCUGGUGUAGCGGUGAAAUGCAUAGAUAUCACACAGAACACCGAUUGCGAAGGCAUCUCACGAAUCCGCGAUUGACGCUGAUGCACGAAAGCGUGGGUAUCAAACAGGAUUAGAUACCCCGGUAGUC
rnacentral:rRNA from 1 species